UGAUUUACAUUUGAGUGAGUGGCGAACUGGUGAGUAACACGUGGGAAACCUGCCCAGAAGCGGGGGAUAACACCUGGAAACAGAUGCUAAUACCGCAUAACAACUUGGACCGCAUGGUCCGAGUUUGAAAGAUGGCUUCGGCUAUCACUUUUGGAUGGUCCCGCGGCGUAUUAGCUAGAUGGUGRGGUAACGGCUCACCAUGGCAAUGAUACGUAGCCGACCUGAGAGGGUAAUCGGCCACAUUGGGACUGAGACACGGCCCAAACUCCUACGGGAGGCAGCAGUAGGGAAUCUUCCACAAUGGACGAAAGUCUGAUGGAGCAACGCCGCGUGAGUGAAGAAGGGUUUCGGCUCGUAAAACUCUGUUGUUAAAGAAGAACAUAUCUGAGAGUAACUGUUCAGGUAUUGACGGUAUUUAACCAGAAAGCCACGGCUAACUACGUGCCAGCAGCCGCGGUAAUACGUAGGUGGCAAGCGUUGUCCGGAUUUAUUGGGCGUAAAGCGAGCGCAGGCGGUUUUUUAAGUCUGAUGUGAAAGCCUUCGGCUCAACCGAAGAAGUGCAUCGGAAACUGGGAAACUUGAGUGCAGAAGAGGACAGUGGAACUCCAUGUGUAGCGGUGAAAUGCGUAGAUAUAUGGAAGAACACCAGUGGCGAAGGCGGCUGUCUGGUCUGUAACUGACGCUGAGGCUCGAAAGUAUGGGUAGCAAACAGGA
rnacentral:rRNA from 1 species